rnacentral:rRNA from 1 species
UGCCUUAGUAACGGCGAGUGAAGCGGCAAUAGCUCAAAUUUGAAAGCUGGCCCCUUCGGGGUCCGCGUUGUAAUUUGUAGAGGAUGAUUCGGCGAGGGCUCCCGUCUAAGUCCCCUGGAACGGGGCGUCAUAGAGGGUGAGAAUCCCGUAUGUGAUGGGUUGCCUUAGCCAUGUGAAUCUCCUUCGACGAGUCGAGUUGUUUGGGAAUGCAGCUCUAAAUGGGAGGUAAAUUUCUUCUAAAGCUAAAUACCGGCCAGAGACCGAUAGCGCACAAGUAGAGUGAUCGAAAGAUGAAAAGCACUUUGGAAAGAGAGUUAAAAAGUACGUGAAAUUGUUGAAAGGGAAGCGCUUGCAGCCAGACUUGUCCGCAGUUGCUCAGCCGGUCUCCUGACCGGCGUACUCUUCUGCGGCCAGGCCAGCAUCAGUUCGGGCGGUCGGAUAAAGACCUCGGGAAUGUGGCUCCUCUCGGGGAGUGUUAUAGCCCGGGGUGGAAUGCGGCCAGCCUGGACUGAGGAUCUCGCUUCGGCUAGGAUGCUGGCGUAAUGGCUGUAAGCGGCCCGUCUUGAAACACGGACCAAGGAGUCUAACAUCUAUGCGAGUGUUUGGGUGUCAAACCCAUACGCGUAAUGAAAGUGAACGGAGGUGGGAACCCUCACGGGUGCACCAUCGACCGAUCCUGAUGUCUUCGGAUGGAUUUGAGUAAGAGCAUAGCUGUUGGGACCCGAAAGAUGGUGAACUAUGCCUGAAUAGGGUGAAGCCAGAGGAAACUCUGGUGGAGGCUCGCAGCGGUUCUGACGUGCAAAUCGAUCGUCAAAUUUGGGUAUAGGGGCGAAAGACUAAUCGAACCAUCUAG